rnacentral:rRNA from 1 species
GAUGAACGCUAGCGGCAGGCCUAAUACAUGCAAGUCGAACGAGAUUACGAGGCUUGCUUCUUAUGAAAGUGGCGCACGGGUGCGUAACGCGUAUGCAACCUACCUUAAUCAGGGGGAUAGCCCGAAGAAAUUCGGAUUAAGACCGCAUAAAAACACAGGAUAGCAUUAUCCAAUGUUCAAAUAUUUAUAGGAUUAAGAUGGGCAUGCGUGUCAUUAGCUAGUUGGCGGGGUAACGGCCCACCAAGGCGACGAUGACUAGGGGAUCUGAGAGGAUGACCCCCCACAACGGUACUGCGACACGGACCAGAAUGCUACGGGAGGCAGCGGUAAGGAAUAUUGAGCGAUGGAGGGAACUCUGAACCAGCCAUGCCGCGGGCAGGAAGACAGCCCUCUGGGUCGUAAACUGCUUUUAUUCAGGAAUAGACCUUUCUACGUGUAGGAAGCUGAAUGUACCGAAGGAAUAAGGAUCGGCUAACUCCGUG